UGGACAUUUAUAUUGGCAGAUUCUUCUUGAGGUGAAGAUGUUUUUUUUUAUGAAUGUCCUAGAGAAAUAUAAUAGCUUUCUGUUCAUCCUUUUUGAGAAGAAAGGGUGGAUCGUACCUCUACUGACAUUC
ensembl:scaRNA small Cajal body-specific RNA 24